rnacentral:rRNA from 1 species
GACGAACGCUGGCGGCGUGCCUAAUACAUGCAAGUCGAACGCAGUGGGGACGGGUGAGUAACACGUGGGUAACCUCCCAUCAGAGGGGAUAACACUUGGAAACAGGUGCUAAACCGAUACUGAUGGAUGGACCCGCGGUGCAUUAGCUAGGUGGUGAAGUAACGGCUCACCAAGGCCACGAUUCAUAGCCUACCCGAGAGGGUGAUCGGCCACACUGGGACUUGAACACAGCCCAUACUCCUACGGGAGGUGGCAGUAGGGCAUCUUCGGCAAUUGACGAAAGGUUUACCAGGCCACGCCGCGUGCGUGAAAAAGGUUUUCGGAUCGUAAAACUCGGUUGUUAAAGAAGCGGUAUCUAACCAGAAAGCCACGGCUAACUACGUGCCAGCAGCCGCGGUAAUAC